GCCCGGGUAGCUCAAUCGGUAGAGCGUGUGGCUCUUAUGAAUUUUCAUCACAAGAACACCUCAAGGUAAGCUCGCCUAAUAUACCUAUUGUGAUCCCACUCGCUGACCCUCAACAGGUCGUGGGUUUGAGCCCCACCUCGGGCU